rnacentral:rRNA from 1 species
AACACGUGGCCAAGCUACCCUGUGGACGGGAAUAAUCUCGGGAAACUGAGGCUAAUCCCCGAUAACGCUUCUGCCCUGGAACGGGCGAAGCCGGAAACGCUCCGGCGCCACAGGAUGCGGCUGCGGUCGAUUAGGUAGACGGUGGGGUAACGGCCCACCGUGCCCAUAAUCGGUACGGGUUGUGAGAGCAAGAGCCCGGAGACGGAAUCUGAGACAAGAUACCGGGCCCUACGGGGCGCAGCAGGCGCGAAACCUUUACACUGCACGACAGUGCGAUAAGGGGACUCCGAGUGCGAGGGCAUAUAGUCCUCGCUUUUCUGUACCGUAGGGAGGUACAGGAACAAGUGCUGGGCAAGACCGGUGCCAGCCGCCGCGGUAAUACCGGCAGCACGAGUGAUGGCCGAUAUUAUUGGGCCUAAAGCGUCCGUAGCCGGCCGUGCAAGUCCGUUGGGAAAUCGACGCGCUCAACGCGUCGGCGUCCAGCGGAAACUGUUCGGCUUGGGGCCGGAAGACCUGGGGGGUACGUCCGGGGUAGGAGUGAAAUCCCGUAAUCCUGGACGGACCACCAAUGGCGAAAGCACCUCAGAAGACGGACCCGACGGUGAGGGACGAAAGCUAGGGUCUCGAACCGGAUUAGAUACCCGGGUAGUCCUAGCUGUAAACGAUGCUCGCUAGGUGUGCCACAGGCUACGAGCCUG